AGUAGGAUUGCUUCAGUAUAGGGUAAGCAUGGAACAUAUAAGACAUCGGUAAUUCAAUUAUUCAAUAUGAAACCACCUACAGUUAUCUUGAAAAUAUCAGUGUUAUUCUUAUUGUAUACGGUUACCUCAAUGUCGACUGUAAGUUCUAAAUUCCAAACUGGCACUCCUCACACCCUAUGGUUGGUUCCCAGACGUCGUCAAUGAUAAAUGGUCAAGUGCCGAAGAAAUACGGACACAACCUCCCAGUUUCUAUAUCCGCCGUUAAUCUUAACAACAUUGGUAAAUCAGUCGAGAGCCUUUACUCGGUAGAGUCCGUGGUUUCCGAUCCGCCGGACCAUCCAAUAUUCGUGAAUGAGGACAUACAUCAAUAUCCCGUCCCUGUUCUGAAAUCUACGGAUUUAGGCGAUCUGAGACUGUAAGAGUUUUUCGAGAAAAGUCAUGAAUACAACUCGGAUGAGGACACUGGUCCGGGGAUAAUUUCCGGUGGCGUCCCCGGGCGCUCACUCCGCUCAUUUCGGUCCCAAAAGAAGCGGCGCCGCACGAUGAAACGGACAAAAAGCCUGAACGCUGCGAACACCCCUACCAUAGUAGUCACCCCGACCUCAAACGAGGACAUCUCUACACGGUUCAAGUUCAUACAUCUCUGACGAACGUUUUUUUUUUCAUACACAUGAUAUAACAUUUAUCUGUUGUUUGAUAUGUGUUCGUUGACUUGUUGAUUGACGUGUCAAUGUACAAUGAUAUAUGUUUUUAAUGUUAAGUGAUGAACUAUUGAAAAGUAUUAAGAAGUGA